UGUGAAAUUGUUGAAAGGGAAGCGCUUGCAGCCAGACUUGCUUACAGUUGCUCAUCCGGGUUUCUACCCGGUGCACUCUUCUGUAGGCAGGCCAGCAUCAGUUUGGGCGGUAGGAUAAAGGUCUCUGUCACGUACCUCCUUUCGGGGAGGCCUUAUAGGGGAGACGACAUACUACCAGCCUGGACUGAGGUCCGCGCAUCUGCUAGGAUGCUGGCGUAAUGGCUGUAAGCGGCCCGUCUUGAAACACGGACCAAGGAGUC
rnacentral:rRNA from 1 species